CGCUGCUGCGUGCAAGCGCCUGGCCAACGCAUAGACGCACGCACGCACACAUACACGCACGCUGCUCGGCCUGUUGAGGGCUUGUCUCAUUCCUCUGAUAUCGACAUAACAGAAGGUGGUCAACAGCGUAUGCGCAUACGCCAUCAGAGGUACCACCUCCCCGCCCUUCGCCGUGUGCGUGUGCAUGUCUCUCUAUACUGUCAUGGAGAACACCAACCAGUCAGCUGCAUGGCAGCCUGCUGCAGCUGGCGCGGCAGCGGCAGCGACGACAUCGCCGUCACCGGAGGUGUACUUCAAGAAACAGGUCUUGAAGCUUGGCAUGGACGGCACCAGUCUCUGCAGGCUCAUUGUAGUGACGGACACACACGUCUACGUGUGUGUUCCUUCUGGGGGCAUCACUCGCGCCAUCGCGGUGCGCCGCAUUGAGCGGGUGACCCUGUGUCCACGCGAAGACGUCGGCGACGACGACGGAGACGACCAUGCAGGCUGGGAUGCGGCAUCGGGUAGCCCAGCCGCUGCAGGCGGUGCUGGGAGUGGUGGCCCCACCAUGCCGUCCGCGAAGCCGCAAAGAGAAAAGGCGAAGUCGUUGUUCGCUUCGGUCGUCUCACGACGUGGCGACAUCGCGGGCCGAACGAAUCUCCAGGUGCCACACCACAGCCGUCCGGACUCGGCGGAUGGCGACGCCGGCGGCGCUUUGGCGGUCAGCAGUACCGACGCAUCACCAGCAGCGUCGUCACGUCAAGGGGCCAGCUCCGCGGCUGACAAGGCGGGACGCGAAGUGCCGGCGUCUGUAGCAGCCGGGAGGUGGGUCACGAUCGUCACCCUCGGCAUCGCCCAAGAGGCCGCACUUGCCUUGCAGUUUUACAGCGCCGUCGACGGAGAGGACUUUGUUGCGGCUCUGCGCAAGGCGUCGCACAUAUCAGCAGCAGCGGUGUUCAACCUGCCCGCAGAGGAGGGGCCAAUAGACGCAUCCGGUCAGCUGUUGUCGCUACCCGCGCGUUGUGAGGACCCCGUCUGGCCUCGAGUCCUGAAGCGGGAAGCGGGCGACACCAACAUGGGCAAUCGCAAGCCCGACGUGGAAAGCAUACGCGCUGUGGAGGAAGUGCAGCUGUCGCCACCACGCAGCCCUCGAAGCCCAACGGCGCCACCGCAGCCUACGGCACACCCCACCUUGCUGCCUCACGACAGGAGCGGCAGCGGCAACAGUGAUGGCAGCCGCGGAAGGCGCCCCAGCUCGAGAGAGAGCGUGCACACGGCGGUGCCGAGUCAGGCUGUCCAGCAAAGGAUCGGGGAUCGGGCGCCGCCUGCCCCCUCCCCCGCAGUUUAUGCGCCGACCGUGGAGGAGACACGGUGGCACUCUCCUCCACAAGCGCCGAGCAGAUUGCAGAAGUCGACGGACGGCUCACCUUCAGCAUGGCGCACGCCGUCACCGCUGCGUACUGCGCCGCAUCGCAAGGUCCCCGCGCCGCCACCUUCUGUGCUGUCACAGCAGCUGCAACUGUCGGCGCCGCCCCCGCUGAAGACCAUCCGAGGCCCGGUAAUCGAAGGCAGAGGCGGCGGCGGGUCCCACAACCGUGGUAGCAGCGCUACUCAAAGUCUCCGUGACGCUGCGAACGAGCCCACGCGCACAACGUCGCAGAGCCGGCUUCCCCGGCUAAUCUUCGCUACGGCGUCGUCGUCUGCUAUGUGCGAAGGGGUGCCUUCUUGCCCCAAAGCAGCGGCACCAGUGUCAACGACAAAGGCAGAGGCGGUGCCGCGUCGAAGCCUCUUUGCGGAUGAGCUCGGCACGGCCCAGGUCGUUGAUCCAGCUGCCAGCUCUCUGUCAGCGGCAGCGCCACGAACUGCCUUCAUGGCCACAGAGGACGGUGCUCGCGACGCUCCCGUCCAUGUCGACGCCCUUCAAGCAGAGCUGGCGGCUCAAUCGGCCACCGUGGCGCGGCUGCAGCGAAGUUUGCAAGCGCAUGAGUCCCUGCUGAUCGAACUCGCGGAUGCCAGGGCGGAUGUACGUGGCCUCCAAGCCACCCUCGCCGAGCGCAACGAGCAGUGUGACGAGUGGCAAGCCGCCUGCAGUCAAGCUGAGCAGCGCGUUAGCAUUCUCCGACGCCAACACGAGCGCAUGCUUGCGGAGCAGCAAGAACGACUGCGGCGGGCUCAUCAUGCGGAGCUGGAAGCUGUGCAGGCGGCCUUUGAAGAGUACGACGCGCGCAUGUCCGCUUUCCUCGAACAGCUGAAACAAGAUCAUCGUGAAGAAGAGGUGCAGUGGCAGCGCGAGCGGCGCGUGCUGCUCCUCCAGCUGCAUGAGCAACAGCGCCAGCAGCAAGAGAUGAGGGAUGUAGAAGAGCACCGUCGCGUGCGAGCGGCCGGGGUUGUGGCACGGGCGCACUAUGAAGCCCAACGCCGACGCGUUCCAGCACCGCAGGUGUACCAACGCGAGAGCGCGCAUGCGCAGCGGCAACGGCAGUCGUCAGCCGUCGUUGCUGGUGUCGUCCACUCCCCACGAGGCUCCGGCACUUCGAGCUCGCGCCGCCCUCUGGCGUCGUCCGCGGAGUGUAAUCCGGCCUCUGCAGCGUGGCCACGCGCGGAAGUGAACUCGCCGUCAGAUUCGCUUCUCAGCCCACCACCACCGCCACGACAGCCGCCUUCACAUACGACAUCGCCGUUCAGCGCACACCGACUCAUGAAUGGCAGCCCGGACGUGGACGACGAGGUGAACCACGUCCAUCCGGCUGCACGCCACGGCACCGCGGCUCUGACUCGCCGGCCCCACGCCUACUUUCAAGCACACCUCCAGGCACCGCCAUCGUACCCACGGGGCGGCAGCAUUCCUGAUGCGCAUGACGUCGGGAAGGGCACCUACACGCCGAGUCGUCGCUCCUACGUGUAGCCGCGGUGGUGGUGUUGCUCGCACUAAGCAAGGGAAGAAACCAAUGGACGCUGAGAAAGAAGGUUGGCUGCGCGUCUGCCUCGUGCGACAACACGUACGUACACCUCUGCGACCGCUCCACCGCUCGUUUUCCCGAAACGAGAUGCCGCGAACGGCGUGACCCUGUUCCGCUCUGUCACGCACCCAGAGCCACUGCCACCCCAUCCCUGCCUCCACCGGGUCGGCGGCUGGCACACAGAGGAGGGGCGGGGGCGGCAGGGAAAGGGCUUACCUAGGCAAACCUCGUGCACGCGCCGAGAGGACGCACACAGGCGCGUGCAUGCGCACCGCGCCUCUGCGUACCCACGUAUCUCUCGUCCCCCGAUGACGGGGGGACACCCCCCAGUGCGCGGUAUCGCAGGGCGCAAUACCCCCGCCAUGUGAGGUAAACCCAAGCAGCAGUGCACACACACACACUAUCCUCUGGCAAUGCCGAACCACUUCUGGUGGUGAGUACAAUUCGGAGCAGAUGCCGUGCUCUCAUAUGGAUGAGUCGGCGCGCUGCUGUAAUGCGUGCGUCUACG
rnacentral:misc_RNA from 1 species